UGAAGUUGAUCAAACAUCCAUAUUACAAUUCAAAGGAUUCUGAAGAGUGAAGAGUAAUGAUGUGGAGAUGAUCUUUGUUUAUGAAAUGAGUCAAUUAACUCAUAUAAGGCCACUAUAGGACAUCAAUAAUCAAACCUAUUUGGAUAUUUGUCCUGUUUUAAGUUAUUUGGGCAAUGACUUUAUGUUACAGGGCAAUCUUUUGUUUGUAUGUUGUAAUGGCCAGUGCAAUUUGAUGCAUCAAAUUCCAUUUUCUUAUUUAAACGUCUUUUUAAAGGAGCUUGUGUUAUGAUCCCAUCAUCCCACAUCAAAACACAGAGGCCUUGUGAAUACAGGUCUGUUUGGACACCCCCCCUUGCAAGCCGAUUUUCGUGGGUAAGUUCUACCCAUAAGGUUUGUAUCACUUUGUCCAAGGUGUCAAGAGAGAGAACAAGUUUCAGAACAACAAACUGUGUUAAGGCAGCUUGAGGCCAUAUUGUCUAUCCAUAAAUUGGCGAGAGCGGGAUGUCAUUUAGAUGCCCUGAGGGAGGUUGCAAAACUUUAUUUUCUUCCUUUAGAUCCACUAGCGCCUGAUAUUGCAAAUGAUGCGUUCCAAAAUUUGUCAGCCCAUGUCCAAGCUUGUGUGCCAGACGUUUUGAAGGUUGCUCUUCAUUGCUUGGACAAUCUCACAGAUUCAGAUGGAUCACUUCGUGCCCUGAGAACCAAGGUGGAACGCAUCUUGUUCCAGUGGGUCUUGGAGAUGAUGAUCAAUGCAUGGAAGAUGACUUUAUUUCUGAAAGGUUAAUGGAUUUAUCACCAAAUACAAAUUUCUCCAUUCACACCGAUAAAGAGGAUGGCACUCCACUUGGUGGUAGCUCAUUGCUGCCUCCUUUCCCUGCAAAUACUUUGAAUUGCCACUCUUGUAUUUACAUACUAGCUUUCAAUUCAUUGCAUAGAAUACAUAUGUUUUUUUCCCUAGGUUAUAGAAGGUGGAGAAAUUACUCAAUCCAGAAGCUAUAAAGAACUGUUGAUGAUUGGUACAACAUUUGAACAGCUUGUGAAUGCUCACAAAAGUUCAAUUCCAGUCUUGGAUCCUACAAUUGUCAGACUAUAUUGAUUUUCUAAUUAUUGUAUGCUAGUGGCUUAUUAGAUAAUAUAAAUAUUUUUAAAAUUUUUAGUUACUCUCUUAUCGAUUGAUAAAAAUAAAAAAUAAAAGUCAAAGAUCUGUAAAAUUAGGAGUAAAAUGCUGACCAGAUAAAAUCCAAUGGAAAGUAAAGUAUGCAAGUUGUUCUAUAGGAACUCAAUCAAAGAAUCUGACGUGUGAGGUAAAAUCUUAUUGCUUAUUUUGAUGUGUGAUGUGAAAUCUUAAUGUUCAGUUGAUCAAACUGAGCCUAUACUUCAUAGGUGAGUAUUCAAACCAUAGGAACUCAUUCAAAGAAUCUGAUAUGUGCACUACAGGAAACUGAGCCUAUGGCUGACAUGUGUUCUUCAAUCAGGGGCCACAAUAUGUGUGCACUACUUUCUGGACCUUUGUUUACACCAACUGUAGUGGAGUGCAGAAUUCUCACCGGAUGGACGAUUCAUUAUUAGUGCUGAUCGGGAUUUUAAAAUUCGUGUUACCCUGUUUCCAAAGAAGACUUUAGAUGGAGCUCAUGAGAUACAGAGCUUUUGCCUUGGUCAUUCUAAGUAUAUAGACCAAUGAAGACUAACAGUGAACUCUCUCAUCAAUUUGAAUCAAUUUGAGUUAAACACUUCUUUCUCUGUUAAUGUCUUUGUUAAAACAUGAUUUGUGAAUAUGUUAUUUUGUGAUUAAUGGUAAUUGGAUAUUAAAUUGAAUGGGAAAGUGAACUAAUGUUGUAUUUGAUAUUUGAAUAAGAGUUAUUAUUUCAUGUUAGUGUUAUUUUUCAGUUUUUUUAGUUCAAUCACAUAAAAUUAGCAGAAUUUUUUUUUU